rnacentral:rRNA from 1 species
GACGAACGCUGGCGGCGUGCUUAACACAUGCAAGUCGAACGGGAUCCGGGCUUUCGGGUUUGGUGAGAGUGGCGAACGGGUGUGUAACACGUGAGUAACCUGCCCCCUUCUUUGGGAUAACGUCGGGAAAUCGGCGCUAAUACUGGAUAUUCUUGCUGCAUCGCAUGGUGUGGUUUGGAAAGGGUUUCUGGUGGGGGAUGGGCUCGCGGCCUAUCAGCUUGUUGGUGGGGUGAUGGCCUACCAAGGCUUUGACGGGUAGCCGGCCUGAGAGGGUGUCCGGCCACACUGGGACUGAGACACGGCCCAGACUCCUACGGGAGGCAGCAGUGGGGAAUAUUGCACAAUGGGCGCAAGCCUGAUGCAGCGACGCCGCGUGAGGGAUGACGGCCUUCGGGUUGUAAACCUCUUUCAGUAUGGAACAAGGAUCCUUCUUUUGGGGGGUUUGAGGGUACGUGCAGAAGAAGCGCCGGCUAACUACGUG